rnacentral:rRNA from 1 species
GAACGCUGGCGGCGUGCCUAAUACAUGCAAGUCGAGCGAACAGAUGAGGAGCUUGCUCCUCUGACGUUAGCGGCGGACGGGUGAGUAACACGUGGAUAACCUACCUAUAAGACUGGGAUAACUUCGGGAAACCGGAGCUAAUACCGGAUAAUAUAUUGAACCGCAUGGUUCAAUAGUGAAAGACGGUUUUGCUGUCACUUAUAGAUGGAUCCGCGCCGCAUUAGCUAGUUGGUAAGGUAACGGCUUACCAAGGCAACGAUGCGUAGCCGACCUGAGAGGGUGAUCGGCCACACUGGAACUGAGACACGGUCCAGACUCCUACGGGAGGCAGCAGUAGGGAAUCUUCCGCAAUGGGCGAAAGCCUGACGGAGCAACGCCGCGUGAGUGAUGAAGGUCUUCGGAUCGUAAAACUCUGUUAUUAGGGAAGAACAAAUGUGUAAGUAACUAUGCACGUCUUGACGGUACCUAAUCAGAAAGCCACGGCUAACUACGU